ACAUCAGUAAUGCGAAGGAAAAGGCAUUUAAAGCGGCCUUACAGAAAAAACUGCCUUGGCUGAGAGCAGUUGGGAACGGUAAUUGCCAAACCACCUUCAAACUAUGCCCCGAAACAGCAGUAGGCGGCAUCGUAUACCGGCGUUAACGGUUAACUAAGAGGGCUGCCCAGGCAGCCAAUCAGGGUGGAACCGCGGAUAACUCCGUCCCUUAC
rnacentral:ncRNA from 1 species